rnacentral:rRNA from 1 species
UCCAAGGAAGGCAGCAGGCACGCAAAUUACCCACUCUCAGAACGAGGAGGUAGUGACGAAAAAUAACAAUACGGGACUAUUAAUAGGCCCCGUAAUUGGAAUGAGUACAAUAUAAAUCCUUUAACGAGGAUCUAUUGGAGGGCAAGUCUGGUGCCAGCAGCCGCGGUAAUUCCAGCUCCAAUAGCGUAUAUUAAAGUUGCUGCGUUUAAAAAGCUCGUAGUUGUAUCUCAGUUCAUGUCAAUUGGUCAACCACGAAUUAGUGAUUACUUUUUGACUGAACAUUGAACCGAUUUGUUUUCUGAUGCUCUUUACCGAGUGUUAUUAACGAUCGGGAUCUUUACUUUGAAAAAAUUAGAGUGCUCAAAGCAGGCAUUUCGCCUAAAUAUUCUUGCAUGGAAUAAUGGAAUAAGAUCUAGGUUCUAUUCUGUUGGUCUUUUGAACCUCAGUUAAUGAUUAAAAGGGACAGACGGGGGCAUUCGUAUUGCGGCRCUAGAGGUGAAAUUCUUGGACCGUCGCAAGACGAAC